GGGUGCGAUCAUACCAACGUUAAUGCAUCGGAUCACAUCAUAACUAAGCAGUUAAGUGGGCUUGGGCUAGAGUAGUACUUGGAUGGGUGACCUCCCAGGAAGUCAUAGUGUUGCACCCU
rfam:Picea glauca, whole genome shotgun sequence.